UGCCUUUUUAUAAGGUUUUGAAUUUGACAAUUUAACAAUAAUACAUGGCUUAACUUGUGAUGCAUUUAGUAAGUAGGUUGGUAGAAGGAUCAACAUUAAAAUUUAGCAAUUUUUAACAAUUGUAUAAUGUAUCAUAACGUACAGUUUAAAGUUGUAUUUUUCUGUUAGCUAUUUUACAUGAACAAAUUUUUAAUAUAUGAGUAUUUUUUCUAUUAUAUUUUCUACUAUACUUUUCCAGUUGAAAAAGUAUAGUUGGGCAAGCAAAAUGUUCAUUCGAGCUGUUUGGAUAAAAAAUACAGAGAAAUAAAGUGAGAAAAUUCGAUCGAUAAUUUUUAUGUGCUGGCUAUCAUCAUUAAAUGCCAUAAAUUGUUUCAAUGAAAUGCAUAAACCGCAUCUAACUAAUUCAGAUUUACGCUGCUCAAAAUUAAAUGUCAUGGAGUUAAUAAGCCACUACCAUGCUUAUGCAAGAGAAAACAUAAUAACCA